AAUGAACGCUGGCGGCAUGCUUUACACAUGCAAGUCGAACGGUAACAGGUCUUCGGAUGCUGACGAGUGGCGAACGGGUGAGUAAUGCAUCGGAACGUGCCCAGUCGUGGGGGAUAACGCAGCGAAAGCUGUGCUAAUACCGCAUACGAUCUAUGGAUGAAAGCGGGGGACCGUAAGGCCUCGCGCGAUUGGAGCGGCCGAUGUCAGAUUAGGUAGUUGGUGGGGUAAAGGCCCACCAAGCCAACGAUCUGUAGCUGGUCUGAGAGGACGACCAGCCACACGGGGACUGAGACACGGCCCAGACUCCUACGGGAGGCAGCAGUGGGGAAUUUUGGAGAAUGGGCGCAAGCCUGAUCCAGCAAUGCCGCGUGCAGGAAGAAGGCCUUCGGGUUGUAAACUGCUUUUGUACGGAACGAAACGGUCUGGGUUAAUACCCUGGGCUAAUGACGGUACCGUAAGAAUAAGCACCGGCUAACUACGUGCCAGCCGCCGCGGUAACAC
rnacentral:rRNA from 1 species